UGGAAGGAAUACUCGGCCUUGCCAU
rnacentral:sRNA from 1 species